CAAUGUUCUUUUUUUGUCCAAAAAAAAAAAUCAAUGUUCUUUUUAUACCUUCUGGCUGGUUUCGUUCCACCUUACGUUCAUCCUCCUCCUAUAUAAAUGGCUUCGUCUAAACCUAAAUCCUAUCAAAAUCGAAACCUAGCAGUAAGAUCAACUGAAACCACUAAUCACCGUAGAGCUCCUUCUGAUCGAUGAGCAGGUAUGAGAUUGACUUCCUCAUAUUCAUUUUUUUACGACUCAAUUCCACUUACCCAUACGAUAUGAAAUCGACUUCCUAAAGUGCUAGAUUUCUGUUUGUUAAGAUUUGUUCCACUGUCGUAACGAUUCAAUCCCUCUGAUUAAUUGGUGUGGUGUGAGCGUGAUUGUACCUCUGAGCAAUAAUAUUUUAAACGAUGGAGAUGACCACAAUCUAUAGUGUGGAAUUGGAAGAGGAUAAUUUUGGAGGAAGCUUAAGGUAUCAAGGGGCUGCCACUCGCCUAAUAGAUGCCUGUUGGACUCACGUUAUGUACUUUGAAAGUAAGCUUUAUCUCUCCCUCUCUUGAGUUUUAGUUUGUCUCAUACUCCUGGUUUCUUUAUCCACUUACGGACGAUUCACAAAUUCUCUGUGAGCUUAUCAGAUAGACUCAACACCAAAAGAUACACCUCUAAUUUGGUGUUGCUUUGUUUUAAUCCUCAAUCUAGAAUUUUGCACUACCUUACAUGUUCUAAGUAAGCUUUUUUUUUAAAAAAUAAAUAUCUUAUUCGUUUAACUACAAGUGAAACAAUAGAAUUACAAAGAUUAAGUGAUUGUGAAUAGAUGGCUAAUAUAUAUAGUGAUAUGUAUUCCUGUGAAACUGUUUGGUGUCACUUUGUCCCCCUUUGACAGGAAAGAUUGAAUGGCACUUUCCACUUUUAUCUUCUAGGUCCCUGAAUCUACGAUCACACUUUGAUGGUCUAAUUAUCUUACUGCAAAAUUGAAUUAUUCCAGCUUUGAUUUACUUUGUAUAUGUUGUGUUAUGUUUCAUGGCUUUCUAUGCUUGAACGUGCAUUCUAUCAAUCAUAUUGACUUAUUUUCCUGUCUGAAAAUAUUUUUCUACAUUAUUUUUCUUAUGGAUUGGCUUCCUACUUCUUCAGGGAGGAGUAUAUUUUAAGUGGCUCACAAUAUAAAAAAAACUCCCUCAGAAAAUGUUUCAGGUACUGCAGAUGUUAAAUUUCAGCUAAUGCAUUUGUACGCGGCUAAAGUGAGAGUGACUUUGUUUUUCCUUCUCCUGAGUCUCCCAAGGUUUGGGAUUUUUUUUGCAUAAAAUGGGUAGAGGGAGAUGAAAGUAGCGUAGAAGAUAUUGCAGGGCACAUGAAGAAAAAUAACAUAUUUGGAUUGACGAGUGAAGACAUUUUAUUGGUAAAAUCAAAUUCAGCAUCAAUUCAACGUUCAUGAGAGAGAGGCAUACAAAGUAGCUAAAAAAAUAUUGACCAAGGUGAAGUUGUUGAACCAGACAAGGUUUCCUAUGGACUAAUGGAAAAGGGUUGAUUUGAUGGUCUGAUAACAAUAUCUCAAGAAAGAGAAUGACGAUGUGGAUGUCAAAUUUGGUAAAGGCUGGCUGCUUCUUUACAGGAUUGACAUAGAAAGGUCACACAUGAUGAAGUUGCAGCUGCCGCGAUGUACGAUCAUUCAGAUUCAAUCGUGUUUCAGGUAUAAACAAUAGAGAAAAGUGAGUCUGCAGGUAUUAUUCUUUGGGCCAUAUGUUUCUGUGUGACCCAUAAAACAUAGUUGACUCAUGUUUGUUUCUCAGUGGUGUUGCUGUGUGAAUGGUGAUGGAAUAUGCAGACAAUAUUGUAUAUUUGAUAAACUGGCAAAUACAUAUUCAAUUCGCCAGCAGAUCCUUGAGCAGUAGUUCAUUUUUGUACAUGGAAUUUAAUCUUUAUCAGUCUGUAUCUAGGUUUAUUUCACAUAGUGGAACUGCUUAUCACUGCAGUUCUCUCUAUUGUCUAUGUAUACUUAUUCAGUUUUCAUGUAUCCUUAGCUUUCUACCUGGAUUCAAGUAAGUUAACCGCAUUUUCCUCUGUCAAUACAAUUCACAUUUUACUCA